GUUACGCUAAUACCGCAUAUUCUGUGCGCAGGAAAGGCAGGGGAUCGCAAGACCUUGCGCUGAUUGAGCGGCCGAUAUCAGAUUAGCUAGUUGGUGAGGUAAAGGCUCACCAAGGCGACGAUCUGUAGCGGGUCUGAGAGGAUGAUCCGCCACACUGGAACUGAGACACGGUCCAGACUCCUACGGGAGGCAGCAGUGGGGAAUUUUGGACAAUGGGGGCAACCCUGAUCCAGCCAUGCCGCGUGAGUGAAGAAGGCCUUCGGGUUGUAAAGCUCUUUCGGCCGGGAAGAAAUCGUAUCAGCUAAUACCUGGUGCGGAUGACGGUACCGGCAUAAGAAGCACCGGCUAACUACGUGCCAGCAGCCGCGGUAAUACGUAGGGUGCGAGCGUUAAUCGGAAUUACUGGGCGUAAAGCGUGCGCAGGCGGUUUUGUAAGACAGGCGUGAAAUCCCCCGGGCUCA
rnacentral:rRNA from 1 species